ACGUUAGAACAAUCUACUCCUUUUAACAAUUAAAUUAGAUAUUAAAGAAGAACUGAGAUAACUGAUUUAAAGUAACAAUGUGGAAGAUGAACUAGCUAAAUAUCUAUUACAAUUCCCUGAACCUGGUAUCACGAGUGCACGAACUACUAGAGCAAUCCACAUAAGGGUCUGAAAUAAGCAACAAGUUGUUCGAACAGAAGUACAUAGCUAAAUAGACAGAGGAUGAGGACUCCAAGAGCUGCGGGCACCGAACAAAUGUACCUCAAGUCUCCGUGAAUGUAACCUAUCUUCAAAAUCUACACAGUGUGUAAAGUGCGGUAUCAGUACAGCCGACCCCAUGUACUAGUAUAUGUCGAGCCUAACAUUGACGAAGUAAUGACGAGGCUAAAGUGGGUCACUUACGCUAAAACCUGUACGCAGUAUAUAAUAAUGGAAAAACAAUUGAAAUGCAGCAGAAUUAAACAUCCAACAGGUAAUGAUACCACAACGUCAUAGAUAAACCAGUGUCAUCCAGAAUAUACCAAUUUUACUAGUUCAAUCAAAAUAUCGAAGAAAACAACACAGUUCAACAAAUAGAAGUAUAUAGGUUUUUGCAACGCGCAACCCGAUCCUACUAGACAACAUAUAAUCCUACCUUAUUUCCACUAUAACAAUAUAAAAAACAGUUAAUAAUAUAUAUUUGUCGCGGCGCGCAGCAGAUUAAUCUAAUAAAAGGGCUUCAACACUUAUUUUGAGGGCCAUAAAUAUUGGUGUUAUUUAAUAUGGCAUGCCUCAAUUAAUUAAAGGGCCUAGUCGACUGGUUAAAGGACUAAUGAAUUUCCAACCAUUAAGGCGAAGGUUUAAACUCAAUGUUAAUAACCAGUACAUGAAACCAAGUUGAGUUACUGAAAGAGCCCAGGCGGGUUGUGAGCCCAAUGACCAGCUCGCCAUCAUGCUAACAAAUAAGAUGACACAAUUGGGCUCUAUCAAAAAGCCCAUAGUUGAGAUCUGCCUGUCAAAAGGAAAUUUGGCGCAACUGGGCUAAUGCUAAUAGCCUAGCUCAGUGAUAUGAGCAUUAACAAUUAAAGGUAAACUACAUUGUUAUGAAGAUUCAGAAGUUGAACAACUGAUUAUUAACAGCUCGUGUGAAGGGCAUUUCAUCAUUUAAAGUCAUCAAUUCGAAUUUCCAGCAAGCAGAAAACACUUUAAAGUUUCAGAAAUACUUCAUUAUUAACAAUGGCCUUGGAAAUGCUUGACUCUAGACCUUGAAGAGUAAGCAAACACUGGUUGAUUUCACGUAAACCAAAUGAGAGACUUUUAUGUAUUGCAACAUGGCACAACCAAUUUUCCGCACCUUAAAAAUCAAAACUGCUACAUAAUCAAUAUUGAAACUAAUACACUUAAUGACUUCAGCAGAGUAUUACACCUAUCCGAAUCAGCUAUCAAAUAUCAUAACAUGCCAUGAAUUUGCUUAAACACCUAAACUAACAUCUAAAAAAGGUAAACAACCUCAAGUUAAUUAACAAGCUCACAUGUCUAACUUCUGAACAUAGUCUCACAUUAGGGCCAAUAGAACCAAAAGCAUGAUUAAAUAUAUCUAAUAGCACUUCUUAUUAACCCAUAACUCAAACCAUACUAGACCAAAUUACUUAACCACUUAACAAAUGCUUGAUGAUAACAACUUAAUGAACACAUAGCCACAUAAUAAGACUUCAUAGAUAUAGAAUCAAAUAAUCUAACAUAGAUUGCCAUAAAACAUGGUAUCAUCAGCAUUCUCAUUCUCAUUUCAACAUGCCAUUUGAGGUCGAAUAUGUACCUGGUUACAGCAAAGGCAAUCAAGAGUUUUGAGAAUCAAUUUAAAGUAAAACCAAGAAAACAAGUAUAGCAACAUAGAUCAGCAGUAAAAACCAAAUCAAACAACUUCCAGAAGUCCAGCAAUUUUAGCUCUUUAAAUUAUUUUUCACCCAGAUAAAACAAGAGUUCUUUUAAGUUUUUUACAUUCCAGUUGAAAUUCGAGAUUAGGAAGAAUAUUCAGAACCAAUGCCCACCCCAAAAGAUGCAAAAAUUUCAAUGUCUUCCAAGAAUAACUUCUAUCAACCAUUUUCUUCUCAGUAGCUGCUUCAAAAUAAAGGGAAAGAGACCAUAUAUAGGUAUGCCUAAGGCAGCCCGAGUACAACUAACCAAACCCUUUUUUACCCCUUCUUUCUUGGUUAAUUUUACCCCUUUUAACCUUUUAGAAAAAUAUUUGAAACCCCCAGCUCUUAUCUUAUCCUCUAGAACCUUCUAUGCUAACAGAAAAUAAUUCCCUUACACCUCAAUCCCUAAAUUAACCCUAGAAAGCCUGCUUAUUACAGUCCCUGCCUAAUCCUUAUGACCCCUUUAAGUUUCCAUACUUCCAAUUAGCCCCAUACAGAUCCCUAAAGAUAGACAAACAAGACCAAUCAGAACAAAUAGCACCAGGGGGAUCAAAAGCGACUCGCAAGCCCAAAAACAUUGAACAACUUUAAGGUUUGAAAACAAUCAUGAAAUGAACCAAUUUCAUAAUGAAACCCGGGAAAACGUGAACUUUAUCGGAAACAUUUAAGCUAAUAAAAAUACGCCUAAGAAAAUUAUCAGAAGAUUCAACUGCAAAACCAAUUUCAAUUUAGACUAACAUUACUUUAACUGUAUUUACCACCUAAUUUAACUGAGACGACUGACUGAAAUCUCAAUAAACCAGUGGUUAACACUAAUUUAACACUGACAAAACUGAAACCAGUAAUUAACACUGACAAAAAUAAAAACCUAAAAGACAACACAUCUUAACUAAGGAGAAGACAAGAAUCACAAGAAUGGCCUAGAACUAUACACAACAAGGUUUUGAAAAAAAUGAGAGUAACCUAAGCAUGUGGGAAAAAACCUAAAAAAAGGGAAGAGGAAUGAAACUGUCAGACCGAUAAGGGGAUAAAGAUUCACCUGAGAAAGGAAUAAAGGGGUUCAAAUUCCAUUAGAUUGCCGGAACUAUCUCGAAAUGGCCCAAAAUUCAGGCUAAUUGGUUGUUCUUGCCAAGAACAACUAAUCAGCCUGUAUUUCCGGCUAGUUCAAAGCUUGAAGACAAAUCGAAGUUUCUGACUUGCAGUAGAUUUAGGACUUGGGGUUCCUGGCAGGGGUUUCGGGGAAAUCGACAAUGAAAUCACGAUUAGGGGGGGUCUAGGACGACAUGAUUUGAUCUUUGAGCGAUUUAGGAAAGUUAGGCUUUCGAUCAAUUUUUUCAAUCUAAAAUUCGAGCCAACCUACAGGGACUCGAGGGUAGAUGGUGGGAGAUUUGGAAAGAAUAGGGUAAGAGGGUUCUGGGGUGUUAUUUUCGGGUGGAUUGAAGUGGUUUGUGGCAUCGCCGCCGACGUAGGGUUUCCAGGUGGCGUCUCUAGGGUUUCGCAAUUCAGAGAUGAAAAUGGGAGGAAGUGGGGGGAGGGGGGUACGGCUAGGUUCGAACAGUUUUAUACGGGGGAGGGAUCGAGUUCUGGUCCACUAAAUCAAAUGA
rnacentral:lncRNA from 1 species